AAAACGACUCUCGGCAACGGAUAUCUCGGCUCUCGCAUCGAUGAAGAACGUAGUGAAAUGCGAUACUUGGUGUGAAUUGCAGAAUCCCGUGAACCAUCGAGUCUUUGAACGCAAGUUGCGCCCCAAGCCGUUAGGCCGAGGGCACGCCUGCCUGGGUGUCACGC
rnacentral:rRNA from 2 species